GUUACGGCUCCUUCUGCCCUCGGGGGUGGGGGGGAGAGGCGACACCCGCCGUGUCCCUGUACUCCUGCCCGGGAGCCGCCUGGCACCAAACCCGCUCCUGUCACGCAGGGAUCCCCUCCCCUGAGGUGUGUUAUUCAAUCCAAUUUUUAUUAAGAGUUUUUUUUUGGAGAGCACUCUCAGUGCUAGUCACAGAAGAAUUUUAAAUUUUGGCCAAGCAGAAUUCAGAUUUCAGCCCAAAUGAGAGACAAUCAUUCCCCCCAAAAUAUUUUUGUUUACCUUUUACAUUAUUCUCUAAUCAGAACAACUUAGACUGCAUCUGAGGCGUCAGGAACACUUUUCUGUUCCUACACACAAGCAAACCAAGGCGCAGAAAGAAGCAAGGAAUUGAGCUGGGACCAUCCCGUCACUAGGGAAUACCGGCCUGCGGCUAUGCCAUGCCUCACGUGACUGCCCUACCUGCUUGCAUUGCUGCUGGAAGCGGAGGAACAGGCCUGCCUCAACAGCUGCUAGAGCAGACAUAUGGACAUCAGCUGUCACUGCCACAGGCAAGACAAUGCACAGCAAUAGUCAGCCGCAUUAUUCAGAUGUCGGAUUCUUUUCCUGGUGUUGCCUGA
rnacentral:lncRNA from 1 species